rnacentral:misc_RNA from 1 species
UUUUUUUUCCAUAUAUCUAAUCUCAGAAUUUAAAAAUGCUGGCAUCUAUUUAAACAAUUAUUUACCACACUUGGUAAAAUCUAUAAAAAAAAAAAAAAAGAAAAAGAAAAAGAAAAAGAUGUAAAUUAAAUUUCAGAUAAAAAAUUUUUUGUUAAGGGGGCUUAGAAUAAUAGAAUCAACAUGAGAGAGUUAUAAUAAGGCUCUACAUCUAGAAACUUUCAAUAGUUGUCUAAGAGUGGUAGAAAAAUUUACAUAUAGGCAAUAAAUUAACAGGUAGUGAUAACAGUUUACCCAUUUCUAUGUAGAUUAUGUGUACUUUCUAUAACUUUCAUUAUGCUUAAGACACUAUAAUUUCUCUUCUUUUUUAUUUCUUUCUAAAACCUCUCAUGAAUAAUUCAUAAAUCAUAAUGUCUUUAUAACUGUAAAACCUGAUCUUGAUAUAUAACUCACUGUGUAUGUUCAAUUUUUUUCAUUUUCUCUACAUAAUUAACUCAUAAAUCUUCUCAUAGUUCUCAUUACAUCUCAGUUUUUCCGAACUUGAGUGUAAAAACAUCGCAUUUUUUUUCUCAAUUACGUAUUGAGGUUUGAUGGCUUUGUCCUUGACAUUGACAGGAUGAUGAGGGAUCUAUCAGCUACCAUGGCGUGGCUUUCGUCAAUUUAGCACCACUGCUAUACCCUGGAGUCAAAAGAAUCCGAGGUGCAUACAAGGUGCAUGCAUAUACAGAUCAUGCAAUGCAUGAAAAGACCAAAAGGAAGACAGGAUUUGGGGAGGAGGCCGGGAAAAUCGCCUUCAAUAUCCUAAACAGAAACAGUGCCUCCCCUUUUCCCAAGAAAGCUGGCAAAGAGGGGGGUGAGAAGAAGGAAAAAGAGGUCAAGAAAGGGGUGAGUUCAUAAGAGUGCCCCCCCCCCCCCAAAAAAUUUAAUGAUUGACCAACUGAUCAAGUCCCUGCAGUGAAGACUCAGAAUCUAAAAGAUUGAUAUUGAAUAUGCAUAACACCCCAAAAGUUUUACUACCAUGCAAUGAAAUACUAAAUU